rnacentral:lncRNA from 1 species
GCUAAAUCCUGGGCACGGAAACAGAAAGCCACCCGUGCAGCAGGACGGGGUUCUGUUUCACACGAAGACGGCAAUUUCCUCUCUGCUAAGGGGACGUUGGAACAGAGACCUCAAGGAAGCCACCGAGCAGGUGAUCUGGAGGGAGGCUGAGGUGGUGCAUGGGCCCUGAGCUAGCAGCUGGUUUGUUCUGGUCCUGAAACACCAAGGAGGCCGAUACAGGGGGUGCAGGUGCAGCCGUCAGAUGACUGAGAACCCAGAGGGCAGGGUCGUGUCCCGGCUGGGCGGGGAGGCCUGCUCUUCCUGACCGCUGAGCUCCAGAGUUUGCACAGUGAGCUGAACAGCAGGCCUGACGGACAGACGGGCGGCGCGGGGAGCUGGGUUUUCAAACCGCUUUCCCUGGGAUGAGGCAAUUCCUGGGACCCGUGCCCACUGGGGCAGAAGGUUCCUAAGAGCCGUGCUAACGAAACGACAGGGUGACCGGGUGGAAUGCUCUCAACUCCACAGUGCAGAAAGCGAAACCUGGGAAUCACACAGUUGUGUCAUUCUUCUCCUUUUUUUUUUUAAUUCAUACCAGAUUUUCAUUUGUUAUUGAGUUCUCCAAAUCCAAAGGAAUACUGGGCUGUGUCCACCACCCCUCCGUUCGCCGGCUGCAUGUAUCAGGCAAUUAUCUAUUUGACCUUUCCAGAUGUUGGCGUGCUCACCUGUAAGAUGGUAAUACCCGCUGUUCUGCCAUGGUGGCCAGCGUGAGGGUCACCUCUGAGGGGGUGACUCGAGGGCUUAGCACAGUGCCAGAUGGAGGAGGUGCUCUGGAAAUGUCCCUGCUGUGACUAGGAAGGUUUAAAAGCUGGGAGGAGGAUCCUGAGUGGCCAAAGAAGCCCAGUUACACACAGAGAAGGACGACACGGACCCAGCACCCGCUGUCCCCAAGGCGUGGUGGCUGAUCCUCGGCUGCUCUGCAUGUUCUGCAUCCCCGGCUGCCGUCCUCCACAGCGUCUGUCCGUGCUCUCACACAGGGAGAGCCGUGUCCCUUGUCAAGUUCCACGUCACCUAACUUAUGCGGCUGCUUCCCCAGGAGAGCGAGCUCAGGACUCAGCCCGUCUUCCCACAGCACUGUGGAGGGGAAACUGUGCUACAGGGAACGGCACUGAGUCACCUCUCUGCCCUGAAGACGGCCAGCCGGGGCACGGGGCUAGGGGAAGGCAGCAGCAAGCCAGUCCUGGGAAGUGAGGCUCUGCUUGACCACUCCCCUCUAGAGCAACCCUGUCCUGAAACCCACCCCUCCCUGUGGCUGUCUCAGGUUCCAGAACCAACAAACGGCUCGAUGUUCUAGCAAUUCUCGUUACCAUCUAGGAGAGGUCCACUCAGCCAAUCGAAGAACAGGACACAGAGACAGCAAGCAAGCAGCAGACUUACUGCAGAUGAAACAGAGACAGACUUCGCCAAAGAGAAGAGCCCAGAGCUAGGAAUCCAGUGGGAUUCUGUGUUGGAAUUUUCUUCUUUCCUACCUCCUCCCUGUCCAUGGUCUUCUCACUAUGACUGAUCGGUGGCCCCUCUGUCCACACAGCUGUCCUGGUUUUUCUAUUGGACCCCCGGCUUAGGAGCACAAGCAUGGGAGUGUCUGUCUGACUGGGUCCCCACCUGUGUCAACGGGCACUUUCGUCAAGCAGGAAGUUGACCUCACUGGAAGACCCUCUCACGCCCCUUGUGCUGACCCUGUCCUGUCCUCCUCACUCGCCAUCUUGCCCUGGCCACCCAAGCCCUCCUGCAUCUCCCCCAUGCUGAGUUGGAUUUUCCCUUUAUAUUACAGCCUGAAGCAUCCAGAUACCAAUCAGAUAACUUACCCCAUCAGAUCGCCAUGACAACCCUGCUUUAAGACGCGUCUUCAGUGCACUUCGCCUGUGGAGGAACAUGCGGAGACCAAUGGCUGGCCCACUUUGGGGCUAUUUAGGGACCCCUUUUUUUAGUAGAGUGGAUUGGGGGGGCGGGUCACAGGUCUGUGUUCCUGCCUUGAUCUAGGGCCUCUGUUUCCUCCUCUAUAAAAUGGA